rnacentral:rRNA from 1 species
UGCAGAAUCCCGUGAACCAUCGAGUCUUUGAACGCAAGUUGCGCCCCAAGCCUUCUGGCCGAGGGCACGUCUGCCUGGGUGUCACAAAUCGUCGUCCUCCCAUCCUCUCGAGGAUAUCGGACGGAAGCUGGUCUCCCGUGUGUUACCGCACGCGGUUGGCCAAAAUCCGAGCUAAGGAUGCCAGGAGCGUCUUGACAUGCGGUGGUGAAUUCAAUUCUCGUCAAAUCGUCAGUCGUUUCGGUCCGAAAGCUCUUGAUGACCCAAAGUCCUCAACGCGACCCCAGGUCAGGCGGGAUCACCCGCUGAGUUUAAGCAUAUCAAUAAGCGGAGGAAAAGAAACUAACAAGGAUUCCCUUAGUAACGGCGAGCGAACCGGGAAGAGCCCAGCUUGAAAAUCGGACGUCUUCGGCGUUCGA